GACGAACCGUGCGAACGUUGUUCGGAUUCACUGGGCUUAAAGGGCGCGUAGGCGGGCUGCCAAGUCCGGGGUGAAAGCCCCCAGCUUAACUGGGGAAGUGCCUUGGAUACUGGUGGUCUUGAGGAGGGUAGGGGCGUCUGGAACGGUCGGUGGAGCGGUGAAAUGCGUUGAUAUCGACCGGAACUCCGGUGGCGAAGGCGAGGCGCUGGACCCUUUCUGACGCUGAGGCGCGAAAGCCAGGGGAGCAAACGGG
rnacentral:rRNA from 1 species